UUUUAAUAACUGGAUUUUAGCUAAAUCAGCUGAGAAAUAGUGCCUCAACACACCCUAGAAAAGAUAUCUGGUACAAGUCAGAUUGACCAUUCCUGUGUCAGUACUACCAUUCACCACCUUAGAAGAUGACUGAAGAAGAUGAUAUGCCUAUGCAAUGCUAUCAAGCAGAUAAAGUUCA